CGGGUGAGUAACACGUGAGCAACCUGCCUUUCAUGGGGGACAACAGUUGGAAACGACUGCUAAUACCGCAUAACGUGCCGGAAGGGCAUCCUUUUGGUACCAAAGAUUUAUCGCUGAAAGAUGGGCUCGCGUCUGAUUAGAUAGUUGGUGAGGUAACGGCCCACCAAGUCGACGAUCAGUAGCCGGACUGAGAGGUUGAUCGGCCACAUUGGGACUGAGACACGGCCCAGACUCCUACGGAAGGCAGCAG
rnacentral:rRNA from 1 species